rnacentral:rRNA from 1 species
CCUGGCUCAGGACGAACGCUGGCGGCGUGCCUAACACAUGCAAGUCGAGCGGGGAUACAGGGAACGGAGGCUUCGGCGGAAGGGAGCUGUAUUCCAGCGGCGGACGGGUGAGUAACGCGUGAAUGAUCUGUCCCAGACAGGGGGAUAACACUUGGAAACAGGUGCUAAUACCGCAUAAGACCACGAAGCUGCGUGGCUAAGGGGUAAAAGGAGCGAUCCGGUUUGGGGUGAGUUCGCGUCUGAUUAGCUAGUUGGUGAGGUAAGGGCCCACCAAGGCGACGAUCAGUAGCCGACCUGAGAGGGUGAUCGGCCACAUUGGAACUGAGACACGGUCCAAACUCCUACGGGAGGCAGCAGUGGGGAAUAUUGGGCAAUGGGCGAAAGCCUGACCCAGCAACGCCGCGUGAGGGAAGAAGGUUUUCGGAUUGUAAACCUCUGUUGUGGAUGACGAAGGAAGUGACGGUAAUCCACAAGGAAGCCCCGGCUAACUACGUGCCAGCAGCCGCGGUAAUACGUAGGGGGCGAGCGUUGUCCGGAAUGACUGGGCGUAAAGGGCGCGUAGGCGGCUAAAUAAGUUAGGAGUGAAAUUCCAGUUUUCAAGAUUGGAACUGCUUUUAAUACUGUAUAGCUUGAGUGCAGAAGAGGUAAGCGGAAUUCCCAGUGUAGCGGUGAGAUGCGUAGAGAUUGGGAAGAACACCAGUGGCGAAGGCGGCUUACUGGGCUGUAACUGACGCUGAGGCGCGAAAGCGUGGGGAGCGAACGGGAUUAGAUACCCCGGUAGCCCUGGCCGUAAACGAUGGGUACUAGGUGUGGGAGGUAUCGACCCCCUUCGUGCCGGAGUUAACGCAAUAAGUACCCCGCCUGGGGAGUACGGCCGCAAGGCUUAAACUCAAAGGAAUUGACGGGGGCCCGCACAAGCGGUGGAGUAUGUGGUUUAAUUCGACGCAACGCGAAGAACCUUACCAGGGCUUGACAUCGACUGAAAGAUGCAGAGAUGUAUCCCUCUCUUCGGAGACAGGAAGACAGGUGGUGCAUGGCU